GAAAAAUAGACUGGUGCCACCAAGGCCUGCCUUCCCCAAAGAGAGGGCAAUAUCUUAGUGAGAAUAAAAGAUGCCUCUGGCAUUUCAGCCCUGUGCUAAAUGGGUUGAUGAACAUUUACUUGACAGGCUUUGUGUAGCAACCCCGCUCCAGUGAGGCCGGGGGAACAUACGAUAGAAGGCCACUUACAGCUGGACAGCAGUGUUUGGGAAGGUCCCCUACAGGUGGCCACCGCCAGUGAGAGCCACAAUCUCUAGAAGUAAUCAGCACACACCAGCAGCAAGACAGUACUUUGGUGUACAACUACGGAUGCUGAGAAACUGAAGUUCCAGAAGUUAAGCAAACUGUACCAGGUCUCUCCAGCUACUAUCAGAAGCAGCAUUUGAAUCCAGGACCAGCUGAUUUUGAAGACCUUGCCCUUAAGCACAAGGAUGCACUGUCUCACAAGAAAGAUGGCUGAAAAUCCCAGAGGACUAACCCUUUUCUGUAGCUUGGCAUGUGGAUGGACUUUGCCUGGGGGACCUAGUUUGUUAGCCUGAAACUAGCCUCAUAAAUGUUUAUUGAUACAAGCUCAUUACUUUUCAUCGUAUUGGUCCUGGGCUGACUAGAGAGAAACAGUUCUCACCGUGAGAACAAGGUGAAAGCCAGAGAAUGCCUUAGAAGUGAGCAUUCAGUUUUCCAGAUCCCCCUCUCCUUACAUCUUGGGUGGAAAGGACUGAAAUCAUCUUCUUCCUGCCUCCACCUACAUGGUAUUAAAGGUCCUGGCUUAACGGUCGUCUCCCAGAGAGUCAUGUGUCAACGCUCUAUCACACACAGAUGCUGCCAGUAUCAGCUAGGGUGGAGGCUAGAUUUCUUGGUCAAUUAAGCCUCCAAAUAUUAGACAGUAAAACCACAUCACUGAUAGGUGGUAAAGAGGAGAAUGAAAAAACCUAACUUGCGAUAUAUUUUAAAGGAAGACAGUGUGAUUCACUCUAGAAAGAAUUCUAAUGGACAAUAAACAUACAAAUAAUUUCAUUGCACUAGUAAUCAAUCAAUGUACAUUUUUAAAAGAAUAUCCUCUUUUUCUACCAAUAGAAAUAGCAAAGAUUUAAAAGAAAUACAUCUUACACAGUAAUAAAAAGGAACAAAUUACUAACACACACAGCAACAUAGAUGAAUCUCAAAUGCAUUAUGCUAACUGAAAGAAGCCAGGCUCAAAACUGUGUGAUUUUUAUUUAUGUGACAUUCUGGAAGCAGCAGAACUACAGAGCUAGGGGUGGGGAGAGGAGGUGGCUACAGAGGAGAUGGGGAAUAUGGGACUACUCUAUAUUUUGAUUAUGGUGGUGAUUCCCCAACUAUAUAUAUUUGUGAAAACUUGGAGAACUUGACACCAAAAACAACAAACAAAAACAAUCGUUUUCUUUUUUCUGUAGGUAAAUUAUACUUCACUAUUAAAAUGGAAAAAUUAGUACAAUCUCAAUUUCAUAAAAAAGAAAACAUUGUAGCAAGUCAUAUGCCAUAUUUUUAAUAGUUCUUAUAUCUAGUGAUGGGUUAUGGAUGCUAUUGACUUUCUCUACCCACCUCCCUAAACUGUAUAAAAUUCUUUAUAGUAAUCAUAUAUUGUUUUGUUUACAGAUGCUGAAAAAAAAGUAUUUUCAUGUUUUUUAAAAAGGAAGAAAGAAGGAUAAUUCCCUGUGCUAAUGAGUAGAUAACAAGAAACGCACCCUUAUAGACCACCGGGAAAAGUUCGCCUUUAUAAUGUAGUGAUAUGCCUCAAAGGCACUGCAGUGUGUAUGCUUUUUAGGUGUCCACAGCAGGAAAAGUAAAAGUGUUUGCACAUGGGUAUUCAUUAAGUUGCUUAUGAUAGAAAAAACUUUGAAGAAUCCUAAAUAUCUAAUAAUAGAAGACUGGUUAAAUGCAUUAUGAUAUAUCUAUUCAGUAGUAUACUUUGUAAACAUUAAUUAUUAAUAUAUGUAGAUGACUUGAUAUGGAAAGAUGUUGAAUGACAACAAAGCAUAUAUAUAUUACAUAAAUGUGCAUACAAAAAUUCCAGUUAGAUAUUUUCAAAUGUUAACAGUUAUCAUAUCCAGGUAAUGACAUUUUUUCAGGGCAUUAUUUUCUAAAUUUUUCUGUCAAUUUUAUACAAGUGCAUGACCAUAAUAUCACAUUAUUGGUGAUAUUACGUAUACGCAUAUAUGAUAUAUGCAUGUUUUCUUCUUUAUCCUUAUUAAAACUUUUUUGUCUCCAAUUCCGUAUUGUCUGAUAAGACUACUGUUUCAUCAGCUGUGUUUUAGUUAGUAUUUGCCUGACGUUCAUUCAGUUACUUUCAAUCUUUAACAUUUCUAUGCUGUUUUAUUUUAAGUUGUGUUUUUUAAUCCAAUUUGAUGGUUGCUGCCUUUAAGUAGAUGACUUUAAUCUAUUAUGAUUAACAAUACAUUUAGCCAGACAUGGUAGCUC
rnacentral:lncRNA from 10 species